GGAUUUGCGAAUGCUUUAUGAAGCAAAGGCGGCAGAAGUUCAACUUGAGCAGCAACUGCAAACUCAGAAUCUCCAAUAUGAUCCCUUAGAUGUUGCCAACAAUUUUGAUAUAUUUUUCGGAUAAUUCCGAGUAUAAAUUUGAGUGUUAUACUUUUAUUUCAUGGUCCAUCAAUUAACGAGGAAAUAUCUGUUCACUUUGGAAUCAGACAGCAGGUGUUUACAAGCAUUAUUAUUCAUUUAAUAUUUUCAUAGGCUUUUUCCAUCCUAUUCAAAUAGAAUUUAUUAUAUGCAAUUCAUUCAAUUUUUCAGAGAUUCAAAUUCGAGCUUCUACAGUUCUAUCAGUGGCCUAGAGUGCCGGAAACUCAUCAAAUUUGUUGCCCUAUGGAAAUCCUAAAAGGUACGCAGAUAUUUACAAAUUAUUAAGCAUUUGAUUGUUGUUUUGAUUGUUGUUUCGUUGUGUAAAAUAUUAAGACGUUUUCUAUAUCAUCUUAAAUUUUUAUAGUUUCACAUGGUAUUAGAGUAGGAGGUCAUGAGUUCAAAUCUUUCUAAACUCCUUGCCAAAUUUAAUUCGUUCCCAAUUAAUUCUAGGGAAGUGUUUGAAAAGGCUUGCCUAUGUAACAAGAUUAGCUCCAAUUUCAAAUUGGUAUGUUAUUGUCACGCCCCGGGGCCCAGUAGGAGCCCGCCCGGCACGUGUCUAGACCCGCUAUAUGUCUAAAACAUAUAAGGCGUCUACGAUACAUCAAUAAAUAAAAUUAAAUAAUACAAAGAGAUCUAGCAAUAUCAGAGUAAGGUACUACUAGAAUCUACAACAUGAGAGUAUAACAAGAGCUAAAAUCCACAAAAAUAAAUCAUGGAGUAGAACGACAGAAUUCUGAGUACAAAUGCUAUAAGUGGUACAAUGGCGGUCUCUAUACAUGGUAACAAAACUCUCUCUCUCACCAAAAGCACAAAAAGAGAGUAGACCACCUAGGAGCAAAGGCAAGCUCCGCACUAACUAGCUACGCGACUCCCUCGCCGCGAUCCCGUGCCUCCGCCGGUGCUGAAGGCUCUGAAAAGAAAGUAUCAAACAGAGGGCGUGAGAACUAUUAAAUAAUAGUUCCUAGUGGGCAAUUACUGACUUCAGUGAAAUGCACCACUAGGCCCAAAACUAAGCAAGGGAAGUAAGUAAGGCACGUAAGAAUAAUAUGAAUAAAUAAAUCACAGAAAUGGAAGUUCACUAUAGCAUGAUGUCACUACUUUCAUAAGUAAUAAUCUACCACAUGAUCUCUACUUAGCAUGAAUUUGCAUAAGUAAUAACUACCAUAUGAUCUCUACUUAGCAUGAAUUUGCAUAAGUAAUAAGCUACCACAUGAUCUCUACUUAGUAUGAAUUUGCAUAAGUAAUAAGUUACCACAUGAUCUCUACUUAGCAUGAAUUUGCAUAAGUAAUAAGCUACCACAUUAUCUCUACUUAGCAUGAAUUUGCAUAAGUAAUAAGCUACCAUAGCAUAAUUGUACAAGUAUAAGCCCAUCACAAUAAUCACAAGCUAGAAUGGUAAUGUGUCAUUAUCCACUAUUCUAGUCAAUGUCCAAAAGGUACAAUAUGUCACCAGUAACCCAAUCCUGUGGAAGCUACCCGUAGGUAGUCCGGCCUGCGCCAUGCCAACAAUGGCCCCGUGGUAGUCAACAUCCCCACUCUAGGAAUGAGCCUCCCCCACGGCAUCCCAUUUUGGCGCCCAAUCCCGCACGGGCGAGCAUGUGUCGCGAUGACUAUCUCCGGAGUGCCGACUUGUAGGGAGCGACUCUCUCAAGUAUGUGCGAAUGAGCACAAUGGCAUGCAAGCGAAUAAGUCCGUCUCAGGUCCCAGUGGUUCAUCACUGUUUCAUCGGAUCUAAAACCCGGAAUACAGCACAUGUCCCAAAGGCCUGCCUCUAUGUCAUCGUGUCUAAAACACGGAAUAUAGUAACUGUCUUAAUGGCCUAUCUCUAGGUCAUCAUGUCUAAAAUAUGGAAUAAUAGUAACUGUCUCAAUGGCCUAUCUCUAUGUCAUCAUGUCUAAAACAUGGAAUAUAGUAGAUUUCCAGUGGCCUAUCAUCAUAUCUCUAAGUUGUAGUUCAAUAAUUUUCUAGUUCAAGUGCCCCUUUAUGAUACUUUUGCUUACUAUGUCCCAAUAUGGAUAAUAAGUCUAAAAGCUUGUCAUUCUAAUCAUUUUCCACACAAGAAACAUGAUCUUACAUCAUUCAUUAGAACAUUAAACUCAUGCAUACUAACAAUGCAUAUGCUUCUCUCUACAACAUAGAGUCAAUUUUUCAUGAUGCAUAACAUAGGGGUCUUAAGCGUUCUAAAGUUCACAUAAAUUUCAUUUAACAUAGAUAUGCAUGUAUUUAUAGAAUAUGAAAACAUUUAACCACAUAGGAGGCAUUUCCCUCCAUUUUAAUGAAGCCAAACCCACCAAGUCCUCUCGAAGCCCAUCGUUUCGCCGAUGGGAGGUGCCCACUAUCCUCCUAGCUCCCUAUAGGUAAAACCAGGGGAGUUACACGAACGAAACGAACUACAACAAGCUAAAACAAUAACAAACUCAAGAUAAGAGCAUAACUCACCUAUAGUGAAGCAAACUCUUCCCAAGCUCCAAAUGGGAGCUAGAACCCUUCCAAUCCAACCUAGAGGAUGAUUCUAAACCAAUCAAUUGAGCUCCGAAAGCCCUAGAUCAAAAAUCCCCAAAUCAAGCCCUAAAUCUUCAUUUCUAGGGUUUCAUCACAAAGAGACCAAUAAAACAUGAGUCAAAAGAAGAGAACAAGUUUCUAACCUCUUGAAAAGCUUCAACCCAAACUCAAGGUCCUCUAGGUUCAAGGAUCUUUCCUCAAACAAGCCUCAAGUCCAAGCUCCAAGCUUCAACAAUGGUGGAAAUUGCUCCAAAAGGCAAAAAGAGAAGUAAAUCCACCAAAAUCCAAACUAAAAGGAUAUCAAAACCAAAGAAAUGGUAAAGUGGGCUCUCUUACCUCUUUCUCCUCCUUCCUCAGCUCAGGGAAAGCCCCAAGGGGCAUAGGUGAUAUAUAGAAUAGCCACAAUUGCAAAAACACCCCUGCAGUUCGACCAUUCAAAAUCUGUCACUGCGUAGCGGUACACGGGCCCGUGUACCGGUACACAUCCCACGAAAAUGCCAAACCCGAGCCUCGGGUUGGCUGGGAAGCUGCCUGUGUACCGGUACAUGAUCCCGUACCGAUACAACCAUCAAUUAUGUACCGGUAUAGCCAUCAACCCUGUACCGGUACGCAGCCUGCUGAAGGCUACCCGAGAGCUGACCAAAAAUUUGACUUUUCGGGUUUUGGUGCCAAGUUUUAAACCUCAAUUCUCGGGACUCGAACCAUAGGUCGGAACACUGUCUACGACCCUCCACAAAGUGUGGAACAGCUCGGAACAUAAAUCAAACACUUGAGCCUCGCAAUUUGCAAAGGUCUAGUGUGUUACAGUUAUAGUAGGGGAAUGAAGUGUUUACAACUCAGCUUGCUCUCUCUUUUUAUCCAGGAAAUUCAGGUUAGUAGACGUGAUUUCGAGUUAGAUUGGAGAUGGGAUUUUGGACUAUUUCUUGGAUUUGAUGGAUUUUCUUUAAAUUUGUCCCAUUAGCUGAGCUUUUUAUGAGUAGAGGACCAAUCUACCUUUACCUAGAACAAGAGGAAAGUGUAUUUAAGCUUAUUAAAAGGUGCUAUAGGGUGAAUUUCUUUUCUUUGGGCUUUACUAACCGAAAUGCGAAAUUGCUGAAUUCUACAGAAUUCUUGAGUUUUGAUGGAAUUACCUUGGGUUUUCCUCUGUAGCUGAACUUUUGGAAGGUUAGUAGAGAGCUUAACUUCACCCACAGCUGGUUGGAUCAUUGUUGGAGCUGAUUUGGAGGUUAGUAAAAGAUGAAUUUUUGGUAACUCGAGUCUUCCAACUUGUAUAUUCUUGUACUGAAAUUUCAGCUUUUUAAUCCAUUUCCAACUUCUCUUGCUAAGAUUUGUUGGUAAUUACUGGAUGUCACCUGUGUUGAGGAGCUGAGGGUUAACUUAAAUAACUCCCUUAUUUUCUUCUUUUCUUCCUACCUCUUCCUUUCUCCCUGCUGGCUCUCUCUGUCUCUCUCUGUUGGCUGGCAGCAAGUAAACUGCAGCUGCACUAGCAGCUGGCAGCACAAUCAUUGCUGCAAUUGCAGCCCUUGAAGCCUCCAUUUCAAAAUUAAGAUACAGGGAGAGGAAACGGUAGUGGAGCUCAAACUUGCAUCUUACACUAACUAGAAUUGAAGUUAGUAUGUGGAGAAUUGAUGCAAGAUUGAAAUAAAUUCAGACAUGCUAAAAUCUAAGUGAACCUGAAUUGAUGUGAAAUACGUGACAUAACAAUGCUUAAAAUGCAUGCAUUAUAUUGUAUAAACCCGUAUGGUUGUAGUGUGUGGUUAGGACUUGUAGUGUGUGGUUAGGACUAUUCAUGAGAUGCUUAAGAAUUUAGAUUUUUCUUUAUUGCCACAAUCGUACCUAGCCAUAUUAGUUUCUUAUAUAAUUACCUCAUGUUCUCUUUUUUUGCCUCACAAAAUAGGUUUAUUGUUGAGCAUACACCAUCUAUAUCUAAGCCUGUCACGCCCCGAACCCGAUCCUAUUUGGCCGGUUCGAGAGCGUGAAACAGACGCCGAGCGGACAGAGCCUUCCCUGCCCGCCCAAGGCUCAACAAGAGGUACAGAUGGAGUAUAGAAAUUGCAUAAGCGAAAGCAUACACAAUGGCUUGCACGAGGGCAAAUAAUAGCCAAGAGUGAAAGUAAAUAACUACACUUAGGGAAUCGAUUAUAUUUUUCAUCAUUUCUUUUCUUUACAUCACAGGAUCUCAAAAUAUCGUUUCUUGCUUGCAUUUAAAUAUAAGGAUCUUUUACAUCAUACAUGUUCUUUUCUUUAACAACUAAAUCAUCAAGGUACAAAAGAUGAUAUAAUAAAAAGGUAUGUAACUAAGUAAUAAAACAUCUCAGGCGGUCGCUGCCUAGAGCGUGAUACCCUUACCGCGAUCGUCCGCCGGCUCGCUGGGUCUCGGCUCUGUGGAAAUAGGGGUGUGAGAACUACAACAAAGUUUCCAGUGGGUUCGACAACCAACCACGCCGACUAUCCCACUAGGUCUAAUCAGGCAUAAUAGAAUGAAAGAAAGUAAGUAACCAACUAGCAAAUGCAACUAAUAUGUCUGAACAAAAUAAAAUGAUAUGCACAAUGUAAUGCUCAUGAUGAAUGUAAGGUCAUAGUGCCAAUACCCAAUCUCUUGGCUAACCCGUAGGUUUCGCCCUGAACAAACUCACCAACUCAAAAUCCCAAUAAUCGGGGAGAUACCCGCUACAACCCGAUGGGACCGCCCUCUGGGGAGAUACUCGCUACAACCCAGUGAUGUCGACUCCGGAGCACAUCGCCCGAGGGGGAGCUACCACAACCUCGAGUAAGGACUAAAAGUGAGUACGAUCAAUCCUACAUUUGAGGAUUCUAAGUUCAAUCCAUUUCUUAACUUUAAGGAAGACCAUGCUCAAUGACCCUUAACUCUAGGGUUGAAAUGUUAUAUUAUCUCAAUCAUUCUUUUCUUUGCAUUCUCUACUAUCACUGGUGUCAUAUACACUAUCAAGGUCUUGUACUCAUGCCACACUUGUUCUCUAAGUGCUAUAUUCUUGUCCUCAUGCCAAAUGCCACACUUGUUUACUAAGUGUUCUAGACUCGUCAAUGUCACUUGCUAGAUCUAUGUCAAAGUGUCACUUUUCGUUUACUAACCCUUCUAGGUUCUUGUCACAAUCAUGCAUACAUAGGGAUCAUCAUUCUCACAUUCUUACAAACAUUUAACAUACAUUUGAAUUUACAUUAGGCUAUAAAAAAGCUCACAAUUAACCCUAUUAUGUAAGAUGCUCAAAAAUGCACAUAUGCUCAAAAUAUGACACUUAGACAUAGAGAGAUUUUCGAUGUCCUUGGAAUGCACCACCUACUGUGAGUGGUAGUAGAGGAAAGAUGUGAAGCCUCUCACACCUCACGAACGUGGAAGUCGCGUCCUACAACCAAAAUAGUGCCAAAUUAGGCCCUAUGUACAUGGACUAUUUUCAAAUAUUUUCAUAACGUUAAACGGAGUUGCCUUACGCGUUUAGGACACCCCCAAUUAGGUUUCUACGGAUUCAAUUCGUCCCCGAAAAAUCCUAGGGCAAAAGCUCGAAAUUUAGUACCCUAACCAAACCCAUUGCUAAAUCCUAGGUUUUGAUCUCUAAAACAAGCAAAAGAAAGCUUGUCUAACCUCUAGAAGUUCACCUAGAACCAUCCCAACCAUUUCUAGGGCUCAAAAUGCAAACCCUAAAAAUCCACCAUUAGAGCACCUUGAGCUCUCAUGGGUUUUCAUGGAGCUCAAGCCUCUAGAGGAUUUCUAAACAAGAGAGAAACCCAAAAUCCUAAGUUUCCUGGUAGAAAAUCAAACCCUAGCCUAGGUUUCCAUGAAAACCUCACCUUAGCCACAAGCUAGCCGCAAGUCCACCUUGUAGGAGAGCCCUAGGUCUUCUCCAAGCUCCAAAAGCACCUUCUCCAAGCUCUUCUCCACCUUCUCCACCAAACCCUAUAGAGGUUCUAGAGAGAGAAAGAGAGAAAUGAGAGAGGGAAAAUGUGUGUUGCUUUGGGAGGGAGAGGGGGAGGUGUUGGGGUGUUAACAUGUUGCUACAAUUGCAACUAGGUCCCCCAUUUUAUUUUAUUUAUAUCAGACCUCACUGGGCUGUCAGACCCAAAGUGUACCGGUACACGGGCAUUUGUACCGGUACAACCCUAUACAGAGGUCAAACCCGAGAGCAAGGUCUCUCGGUUUCGCAGCUUGUGUACCGGUACACGGGGUCCCGUACCGAUACACUUUCGCGCAGGCUCAAACCCGAGAGCAGCCUAUGCUCGGGUUGCUUGCUGUACCGGUACAACCACCAUGGUGUACCGGUGCACAAUGCUCCAGAUUUCUGUUUUGGCUCCGAUUCGACUCUACUUCGCGCCGAUCGAUCCUAAAACCUUUCUAACCCUUUCUAAACUCAUUUUUGCCCUUCCAACCUUGUUGGAACGUAAAAUGGAACUCGCCAGCCCAUUUCUCUCGACACUUUAACCAAUUUGAUUAAAGUUCGAUUAUCGUUUUCGGGUUUCGAUAUGUUACAAAGCCUGCUUUUGGUUCAUGACUGGAUCUCAACCUGAUUUUGAAUUUAUUUGUAGGGAUGACGAUCGAACUUAAUUGAAUAUUAGUUUAAUAUUAGCUUAGUGUUGGUUGUUUUGACAUAUGUUAUAAGCUGUAUCAAUUUCAACCUGUUUGUUUUUACUUUUGUUGCUAUUCGAGAGGCCAUAGCUUGGUGCAGUUUUAAUAAUCUUCAAGUUCAACUCUUUCUAGUAAUUUUGCACAAAAUGCUGAAAAUUAUGAUUGUCCCUGAAAAAUUCCUUUCAUAACCCCACUUUGGUGGGGAAUAAUUGGUUAACAUCUUUUUAAUGUAUAUGUCCUCGCAGAUGCCAAAAGUAGGUGAGAUUUUUCUAUUUGUUAUAAUGGAUAGACGAUAGAGUUUAGCAAGAGUUGAGGGUUAGAGUGGCACGAAAAGAUUAAAAUGGAUUGAAGUUAUGCCGUAACUAUCAUGUAUUUAACUAUCUGAACUGCUGCGUCAAAUUCGCGUACAAUGGCCUGGGUUGUUUGAAUAAUAUGAUAUCUGGAUUAGUCCAUUGCUACAUUUUAAUACUACUAACUUUGUUCUCUGACUGUGUUUCAGAUUCAUUUUCAUGUUCAUAUCAGCUUAUUUCCUCGCUGACCAGAUUUCUAGAAACAUGUUUCACAGUUGCAAAAAUUUUGUUUUCGUGGUCAUCAUAUUCUGUAUAUUAACAGUAGCACUAAAUUGAAUUACUUUCGAUUCUCCGAUGUUACUUUUCGCUCGCUCUAGUCAAUUACUCUUGCAAAUCCUAGAACUUAAUAGUUUCUUUUCAGUUGAUUUGAAGUUGACUAUUCUCUGUUCGUCUUACAGUUUGGUUGCGCUUUGUCGGAAUAUUUUCAGCAGACUUUACCUUAAUUUUUUUUUCAUAGUCUGAAGGUAAUGGUAUUUCAACUUCAAACUCAUUUAAGAAUAUCAAAUAACAUCGGUCUGAUAUUCGUGCAAAUUGCUUGUUGGUCUGUCAAUGUGUAUUUGUUCUAAUCUGAAUUUUCUGAGAUCUAUUAAAUAAUAGUUGGAUUCUGAAUUUUCUGAGAUCCAGCAGACUAUUCUCUGUUCGUCUUACAGUCUGUCAAUGUGUAUUUGAGUUUUCGUUAUUCUCAUGUUCAUUUUCAGAUGUGCUUGUCUACUUAAUUUGAGUGCUAUUGUUACAAAAUGAAAAGAAAAGCUAGACCAAAUCAGUACAACCUAACUUUCAUAUUUUUCAAAAAUUUGAUGUGAUGAUUUUUAUUUGAUAAUUUCGGAUACUAAUUUUAUGACUUCUUUUUUAGUUGAUCCAGAACAGCUGGAGCUGCGGAAAUUGAAGUGGGAAGCAACAGUUUCAACCAUGCGGUGUUUUUUAUUUUUUGACUACAUUUUGAACAAGUAUUUUUUGUUAGAACUUAUGUUCGAAAUUUAACUUGAAUACUGAGAUUGUAAUUUGAGAGUUGAGACUAUUUGUUAUACAAAUUAUUAAUACUUUUUGGUUAUUACUAUUUUUUAAUAUUUCAAUUCAUUGUAGUAUUUAGUUGUGAAUCAAGUAUUUUAAUAUUAAUUGUAAUUGCCGCUAUAAGCUUUAUUUAUCAAUCAUUUAGUAUGUUUUUUGUGGCAAUUAUAAUUAAUUAUAGCGGCAUUUAUAAUAGUUGUUAUUGUAUAGUAUUUAGCAGCAUUUAUAAUAGUUGUUAUUGUAUACUAUUUAGCGGCAUUUAUAAUAGUUGCUAUUAUAUAUAUUUAGCGGAAUUUAUUUGAAUUUUUACCAACCGCCGGAACAAAUGCCAUUAUAAGUAUUAGCGACCCUACCAAUAGUGGCAAUUGUCAUAAUU
rnacentral:lncRNA from 1 species